AUACUUACCUGGGCGGUGCCAAUCGCUGAUCCAGCAGGCCCAUGAACUAGUUCUGGUCGACCCAUUGCACUCCGGCACGGCAAGUCCUAGCACUUUCCACGGGAAAGUGCACGUCAUAAUUUGUUGCAGCGGAGCGCUCGCGUUCGCGCGGCCAUCCA
rnacentral:snRNA from 1 species